rnacentral:rRNA from 1 species
UACGAAGGGGGCUAGCGUUGCUCGGAAUCACUGGGCGUAAAGCGCGUGUAGGCGGCUUUGCAAGUCGGGUGUGAAAGCCCUCAGCUCAACUGAGGAAGUGCGCCCGAAACUGCAGAGCUUGAGUGCCGGAGAGGGUGGCGGAAUUCCCCAAGUAGAGGUGAAAUUCGUAGAUAUGGGGAGGAACACCGGUGGCGAAGGCGGCCACCUGGACGGUAACUGACGCUGAGACGCGAAAGCGUGGGUAGCAAACAGG